CUAAAUAACAAGAAGCUUUGUCGUAUUAACAGCGGAGUAUUUAUCAAAAUUCGAAAAAGGAUUAAGCACGUCAAAGAAUUUAAUGAUAAUCUGGUCACCUGAAUGAAAACGGAUGUUGAUAUAUUAUUGUGACGCACACAACAAAACAAGUACGACACAAACUAAACCUAAUCGUUGAACUUAUCGGAUUUUUAAUGGAAAACUAUAUUUGGAACUUGCGUCACAUCUUUUUCCUUGUGGCAACAAUUCAACUACCGCUCGCUAGGACGCUUUAUAAAGAUCUCAGUGGUAGAUGCUUAGCUACCAUAAAGUCAAAACAUUUUAAAACUCUGAUACCAAACAUAUCUUACAGAGCGACACCUUACCCAUAUGUGACAAAAAACAC